CCUACGGGAGGCUGCAGUGGGGAAUAUUGGACUAUGGGGGCAACCCUGAUCCAGCCAUGCCGCGUGUGUGAAGAAGGCCCUCGGGUUGUAAAGCACUUUCAGUGAGGAAGAACGCCUGGUGGUUAAUACCCAUCAGGAAAGACAUCACUCACAGAAGAAGCACCGGCUAACUCCGUGCCAGCAGCCGCGGUAAUACGGAGGGUGCGAGCGUUAAUCGGAAUUACUGGGCGUAAAGCGCGCGUAGGUGGCUUGAUAAGCCGGUUGUGAAAGCCCCGGGCUCAACCUGGGAACGGCAUCCGGAACUGUCAAGCUAGAGUGCAGGAGAGGAAGGUAGAAUUCCCGGUGUAGCGGUGAAAUGCGUAGAGAUCGGGAGGAAUACCAGUGGCGAAGGCGGCCUUCUGGACUGACACUGACACUGAGGUGCGAAAGCGUGGGUAGCAAACAGGAUUAGAUACCCUUGUAGUC
rnacentral:rRNA from 1 species